CCCUGGGUGGCUCAGUCGGUUAAGCGUCCGACUUCAGCUCGGGUCAUGAUCUCACGGUCCAUGAGUUGGAGCCCCAUCUCAGGCU
rnacentral:tRNA from 1 species